rnacentral:rRNA from 1 species
CGCGAAAACUCUACAAUGCAGGCAACUGCGAUAGGGGAACAUCGAGUGGCACCCACCAUGGGUGUCUGUCCAAUCGUCUAAAAAACGAUUGUCAGCAAGGGC